GAUGAACGCUGGCGGCGUGCCUAAUACAUGCAAGUCGAGCGAACAGAUGAGGAGUUUGCUCCUCUGACGUUAGCGGCGGACGGGUGAGUAACACGUGGAUAACCUACCUAUAAGACUGGGAUAACUUCGGGAAACCGGAGCUAAUACCGGAUAAUAUAUUGAACCGCAUGGUUCCAUAGUGAAAGUCGGUUUUGCUGUCACUUAUAGAUGGAUCCGCGCCGCAUUCGCUAGUUGGUAAGGUAACGGCUUACCAAGGCAACGAUGCGUAGCCGACCUGAGAGGGUGAUCGGCCACACUGGAACUGAGACACGGUCCAGACUCCUACGGGAGGCAGCAGUAGGGAAUCUUCCGCAAUGGACGAAAGCCUGACGGAGCAACGCCGCGUGAGUGAUGAAGGUCUUCGGAUCGUAAAACUCUGUUAUUAGGGAAGAACAAAUGUGUAAGUAACUAUGCACGUCUUGACGGUACCUAAUCAGAAAGCCACGGCUAACUACGUG
rnacentral:rRNA from 1 species